rnacentral:tRNA from 1 species
GGGUUGUGGCUCAGUGGAAGAGCGCUUACCUAACAUUUGUGAGGCAUUGGGUUCAAACCUCAGCACCCA